rnacentral:rRNA from 1 species
ACGCUCGACACCUACGGGCAGCAGUCGGGAAUAUUGCGCAAUGGAGGAAACUCUGACGCAGUGACGCCGCGUGCAGGAAGAAGGUUUUCGGAUUGUAAACUGCUUUAGACAGGGAAGAAAGAAAUGACAGUACCUGUAGAAUAAGCUCCGGCUAACUACGUGCAGCAGCCGCGGUAAUCUGAGCGGGCUGGCAAGGC